CUUGAAUAACUAUAAGAGGUCCAGCCUGCCCAGUGACUUUGUUCAACGGCCGCGGUAUCCUAACCGUGCGAAGGUAGCGUAAUCACUUGUCUUUUAAAUGGGGACUUGUAUGAAUGGCAUCACGAGGGUUAUACUGUCUCCUUUUUCUAAUCAGUGAAACUAAUCUUCCCGUGAAGAAGCGGGAAUAAACAUAUAAGACGAGAAGACCCUAUGGAGCUUUAAACUCAAUAACAAAUACUAACCUUUCAUCAACUUUCAGAAUAUCAACCUUAAUUUUAGUAUUAUGGUUAUUAGUUUUAGGUUGGGGUGACCGCGGAGUAAAAAUUAACCUCCACAUUGAACGGGACCUGUCCCUGAGCCAAGAAUUACAGCUCGAAGCACCAACAAAUUGACAUUAAUUGACCCAAUAUUUUGAUCAACGAAC
rnacentral:rRNA from 1 species